UGAGAAUUGGCGCAGGUGGUUAGCGCGUCCGACUGAUAAUCGGGAGGUCAUAGGUUCAAGUCCUAUAUUCUCAA
rnacentral:tRNA from 1 species